rnacentral:other from 12 species
GUUCACUGCCAUAUAGGCAGCUUAGAAA